rnacentral:rRNA from 1 species
CCCUUAGAUGUUCUGGGCGGCCCGCGCACUACAAUGGCGUGUGCAGCGAGUGCCGAAGUAGAGUUUUCCGAGGUAUUCUUGCAAUGCUCGUUUUGAUGGGGAUAGACCCUUGCAACUGUUGGUUUUGAACGAGGAAUUCCUUGUAGGCAUGGUUUAUCAUCCGACGCUGAAUGCGUCCCUGCCCUUUGUACACACCGCCCGUCGCUCCUACCGAUGAGUCGUCCGGUGAAGUUCGUAGACCUCGUGAUCGCGGAUCACUGGGGGAAGCAAAAUGAACCUCGCGGUUUAGAGGAAGGAGAAGUCGUAACA